rnacentral:rRNA from 1 species
GGCUCAGGACGAACGCUGGCGGCGUGCCUAAAACAUGCAAGUCGAACGGUGACGAAGACUUCGGUCUUCUGAUCAGUGGCGUACGGGUGAGUAACACGUGAGCAAUCUGCCAUUCUGUGGGGGAUACCGUCUCGAAAGGGACGUUAAUACCGCAUAGGGCGCAGGGAUCGCCUGAUCUCUGCGGGAAAGCCGCAAGGCGCAGAAUGAGGAGCUCGCGGCCUAUCAGCUAGUUGGUGGGGUCAUGGCCUACCAAGGCGACGACGGGUAGCCGGCCUGAGAGGGUGAUCGGCCACACUGGGACUGUGACACGGCCCAGACUCCUACGGGGGGCAGCAGUUGGGAAUCUUGCGCAAUGGGGGCAACCCUGACGCAGCGACGCCGCGUGCGGGAUGACGGUCUUCGGAUUGUAAACCGCUUUUCUCGGGGACGAUAAUGACGGUACCCGAGGAAUCAGCCCCGGCUAACUCCGUGCCAGCAGCCGCGGUAAGACGGAGGGGGCAAGCGUUGUCCGGAAUUACUGGGCGUAAAGCGCGCGUAGGCGGUUGUCUACGGCGGUGGUGAAAUCUCCCGGCUCAACUGGGAGAGGUCCGCCGCAACGGGACGACUCGAGGGUGGUAGAGGCAACUAGAAUUCCUGGUGUAGCGGUGAAAUGCGUAGAGAUCAGGAGGAAUACCCGUGGCGAAGGCGGGUUGCUGGGCCAUACCUGACGCUGAGGUGCGAAGGCGUGGGGAGCGAACGGGAUUAGAUACCCCGGUAGUCCACGCGGUAAACGAUGGUGACUAGGUGUCAGCGGUAUCGACCCCGCUGGUGCCGCAGCUAACGCGUUAAGUCACCCGCCUGGGGAGUACGGCCCGCAGGUUGAA